GAGUUUGAUCCUGGCUCAGGAUGAACGCUGGCGGCGUGCUUAACACAUGCAAGUCGAACGGGAAUUACUUUAUUGAAACUUCGGUCGAUAUGAUUUAAUUCUAGUGGCGGACGGGUGAGUAACGCGUGGGUAACCUGCCUUAUACUGGGGGAUAACAGCCAGAAAUGACUGCUAAUACCGCAUAAGACCACGGUGUGGCAUCACACAGAGGUCAAAGGAGAAAUCCGCUGAAGGAUGGGCUCGCGUCUGAUUAGCUGGUUGGCAGGGUAACGGCCUACCAAGGCGACGAUCAGUAGCCGGUCUGAGAGGAUGAACGGCCACAUUGGGACUGAGACACGGCCCAGACUCCUACGGGAGGCAGCAGUGGGGGAUAUUGCACAAUGGGGGAAACCCUGAUGCAGCGACGCCGCGUGAGUGAAGAAGUAUCUCGGUAUGUAAAGCUCUAUCAGCAGGGAAGAAAAUGACGAUACCUGACUAAGAAGCCCCGGCUAACUACGUGCCAGCCGCCGCGGUAAUAC
rnacentral:rRNA from 1 species